AGGUGCCUAGGUGAAGGGCGGGACCCGACCAGAUCCUCACGCGGCUUCAGUGAAUGCUUGCUUUGUUCCCGCUGAGAGGAAAUCGGCGCUGCCUCCGGAGGAGGGUUGAGGCCCGUGCGAUUUGCCGUACUUUCUUCAUACUAGAGAGACACAGCGAGAGAGGGAACACAAGCAGGGGGAGCGGGAGAGAGAGAAGCAGGCUUCCCACGGAGCAGGGAGCCCGAUGUGGGGCUCGAUCCCAGGACCCCAGGAUCAUGACCUGAGCCGAAGGCAGACGCUUAACGACUGAGCCACCCAGGCGCCCCUAGAAUAUGGACUUCUACAACUACUAUUCAAAAUGACAGUAAAAGACAUAUUUGGCCAAAGGCAGGCUGAGAAUGUUUACUGUCACACUCUAAUUCAAAAGAGGAUCUUUGUGAAAAAGAAAACCCAGGAGGAAGGAGAUAGGCAGAGAGCAACGAUAAGCAAAAAGAGAAAGAGCAUAAACUGGAAAGGCAGAGGGAGAAGAGAGAAUCUUAAGCAGACUCCGCACUGAGCGCAGAGACCAACACAGAAGCCAACGUGGGCCCAAUCUCAGAAACCCAAGAUCAAGACCUGAGCAGAAACCAAGAGUCGGAUGCUCAACAGACUGUGCCACCUAGGUGCCGCGUAAUUUUAUUUUAUUUUAUUUUUAUUUUUUUAAAAGAUUUUAUUUAUUUAUUUGACACAGAGAGAGAGAGCACAAGCAGGCAGAGGGAGAGGGAGAAGCAGGCUUCCCACCGAGCUAGAAGCCCGACAUGGGGCUCGAUCCCAGGACCCCAGGACCAUGACCUGAGCCGAAAGCAGCCGCUUAACCAACUGAGCCACCCAGGCGCCCCGGUGCCCUGUAAUUUUAAAUUCUUACAUCAAGUCUUUCCAUAUUUUUUAUUUCUUCUAAGUUUAGAAAGUUCUGUUUUUUAAAAACCCAUAAGUUCCAGUUGCCUUUGCAUAUGGAGAACUGUUAAGUUCAUCUUACAAGCUCUCCAUUAACAAGGAGAAUUUAUUUAGCACAUGCAUGGCCACAAGCUGGUGUUGAUGUGGCUUGGGAGAUAGAGGUACAAUUUGAAAAGGUAUCAGUCAUGAAGCUGGAAGUAUCCCGUACCUGGGAGAGAUUUAUUAGAAUUACAAAAUAUGAAUACUGGAAACCUUAAAAGGUGAUACAUCUUGAUUUUUAAAUUUGGCAUACAAGUUAUUAGCCUACUGAAAAGGCAAAAUGAAUUAGGAAAGAGGUUCUCACCAAAAGAUAUUCACCUUCACUAUUCCCAAAUGUUUCCUUAAAAUCACUUUCAUCAUUUUGUCUACAAGUAGUAGUAGUAGAGGCAGAUUUUUAUUUUCAAAGAUUCUGAGAGACAGAGAGAGCAUGAACGAGGGGGGUGGGGAACAGAGGGAGAGGGAGAAGCAGGCUCGCUGCUGAGUGUGGGGCCUGAUCCCAGGACGCUGAGAUCAUGACUGAUCCAAAGUCAGAGGCAUAACCAAAUGAGCCACCCAGGCACCCGAGAUAGAUUUUUAUUUUUUAAUUUUUUUUAUUUUUAUUUUCAAAAAUAUUUUAUUUAUUUAUUUGACAGAGAGAGACACAGCGAGAGAGGGAACACAAGCAGGGGGAGCUCAGCGGGAAGCCUGAUGUGGGGCUCGAUCCCAGGACCCUGGGAUCAUGACCUGAGCCGAAGGCAAACACUUAACGACUGAGCCACCCAGGCACCCCGGAGAUAGAUUUUUAAAAAUGGAACUUGUAUUACACAGAAAAACGCAGUUAUGCGUAGGAAACGAUAUACAUCUUUAAACUCCAGAAAUUUGGGGACCAAAUUUUGAUUAAUGGUCCUAUCAUUACUGCUGCUUUUGUCAACAGUUAAUCUACCUGAAAUCCUUAUUUCAGUGACCUGCAGGACAUCUGUGUUGGCAGCUGAGAGCUGUGCUGUCCAAUCCAGUAACCGCUAGCCACUAGUGGCUAUUUAACUUUUAAAAUCUAAAUUGAG